UGGCCAGCACAUAUGAUUUGAUUAAAGUUUGUUAUAUGAGAGUUAUACAGCAUCCAUUACUGCCUAUAACAGUAGUAACUAAACAGAUUAACCCAUUUCUAAACCAAGAGCCAAUGGAUAACAACACUUUUGGACGAAAAAUACUCGCCAAAACAGGUAUACAAGAUUUCAUGCUUUGUAAAUCUGGGGAAAAUUUGUUAGACACUUUCAGAACGUAGUAAUAUUAGGAUGCACAUAUAUUACUAUUUAGUUGAUAUUAAAAAGAAAAUCUACUAAAGGGAGGUUUGGCGUAAGUGGUUAAGUUGUUGUCACGUGACCAGGAAGUCACACGAUCAAGCCGUG
rnacentral:lncRNA from 1 species